rnacentral:rRNA from 1 species
UGCCCUACGGGACGCAGCAGUGAGGGAUAUUGGUCAAUGGGGGAAACCCUGAACCAGCAACGACGCGUGAGGGAAGACGGUUUUCGGAUUGUAAACCUCUGUCCUCUGUGAAGAUGAUGACGGUAGCAGAGGAGGAAGCUCCGGCUAACUACGUGCCAGCAGCCGCGGUAAUACGUAGGGAGCAAGCGUUGUCCGGAUUUACUGGGUGUAAAGGGUGCGUAGGCGGCUUUGCAAGUCAGAAGUGAAAUCCAUGGGCUUAACCCAUGAACUGCUUUUGAAACUGCAGAGUUUGAGUGGAGUAGAGG